GUUUACACAUGCAAGUCGAACGGAAACGAAAAUAGCUUGCUAUUUGGCGUCGAGUGGCGAACGGGUGAGUAACGCGUAGGAAUCUACCCAGUAGAGGGGGAUAGCCCGAAGAAAUUCGGAUUAAUACCGCAUAAUCUCUACGGAGUAAAGAAGGCCUCUUUACAAUGCUUUUACUAUUGGAUGAGCCUGCGUUAGAUUAGUUAGUUGGUAGGGUAAAGGCCUACCAAGGCGACGAUCUAUAGCUGGUUUUACGAGAAUGAUCAGCCACACUGGAACUGAGACACGGUCCAGACUCAUACGGGAGGCAGCAGUGAAGAAUAUUGGACAAUGGGGGAAACCCUGAUCCAGCAAUGUUGCGUGUGUGAAGAAGGUCCGAGGAUUGUAAAGCACUUUCAGUAAGCAAGAAAAAUGUAAAUCUAAUAGAUUUGCAUGUUGACCACUUAUAGAAGAAGCACCGGCUAACUCCGUGCCAGCAGCCGCGGUAAUACGGAGGGUGCGAGCGUUAAUCGGAAUUACUGGGCGUAAAGGGUAAGUANGCGGUUUAUAAAGUCACAUGUGAAAGCCCUAGGCUUAACCUAGG
rnacentral:rRNA from 1 species